UACGUAGGCAGCGAGCGUUGUUCGGAGUUACUGGGCGUAAAGCGUGCGUAGGCGGUGGUCCAAGUCUGGUGUGAAAUAUCCCAGCUUAACUGGGAGGGUGGCAUUGAUACUGCGGGGCUAGAGUACAGAUGAGGUAGGCGGAAUUGACGGUGUAGCGGUGAAAUGCUUAGAUAUCGUCAAGAACACCUAUAGCGAAGGCAGCUUACUAGGCUGUAACUGACGCUGAGGCACGAAAGUGUGGGGAUCAAACGGG
rnacentral:rRNA from 1 species